CGUACACUCCUGCGGGAGGCAGCAGUGGGGAAUAUUGGACAAUGGGCGCAAGCCUGAUCCAGCCAUGCCGCGUGAGUGAUGAAGGCCCUAGGGUUGUAAAGCUCUUUCACCGGUGAAGAUAAUGACGGUAACCGGAGAAGAAGCCCCGGCUAACUUCGUGCCAGCAGCCGCGGUAAUACGAAGGGGGCUAGCGUUGUUCGGAUUUACUGGGCGUAAAGCGCACGUAGGCGGACUAUUAAGUCAGGGGUGAAAUCCCGGGGCUCAACCCCGGAACUGCCUUUGAUACUGGUAGUCUUGAGUUCGAGAGAGGUGAGUGGAAUUCCGAGUGUAGAGGUGAAAUUCGUAGAUAUUCGGAGGAACACCAGUGGCGAAGGCGGCUCACUGGCUCGAUACUGACGCUGAGGUGCGAAAGCGUGGGGAGCAAACAGGAUUAGAAACCCGUGUAGUCC
rnacentral:rRNA from 1 species